UGAACUUCCCUUCACCUUUCAUUUCCCUUCACACCACUGUGGUAGGACUGUAAGACUGACCCAGACUGACCUUUUGACUAUUCCCUGACUUAACCUCCUGAUAACUUCUGAAUGAACUGAAUUAAUUGAUUGUGACACAUUGAUCGUUGAUAUUGAUAAUACAUUUUGUUGAAUUGAUACACAUACAUACUAUAAUACACUGAAUAUUUAUUGUAUAUAUUUUUAUUUUCUUGUACCAUUGAAAGAUCACAUUGAAUAUUUUAGAACUUAGGUAAGAUAAGGGUGCACCCGAAUAUAGAACCGUAUAUAGAACAUCUGAUAUUGUUAUUUAUUGCACUGCACUUUGUAUUCUAUUUAUUUCAAUCUAUUCAUUGUACUUAUUGUUAUUUAUACCAUUUUAUUCAUUCACUCCUUUUACUUAUUAAAUGUCAUCAUUAUUCUAA